rnacentral:rRNA from 1 species
GGAGAAAGUACUUGUACUUUUUCUAACCUAGCGGCGAACGGGUGAGUAACACGUGGGAAACCUACCUCUAAGACUGGGAUAACAUUCGGAAACGGAUGCUAAUACCGGAUAACAACUUUAACCGCAUGGUUGAAGUGUGAAAGGCGGAGCAAUCUGUCACUUAGAGAUGGUCCCGCGGCGCAUUAGCUAGUUGGUAAGGUAACGGCUUACCAAGGCGACGAUGCGUAGCCGACCUGAGAGGGUGAUCGGCCACAUUGGGACUGAGACACGGCCCAAACUCCUACGGGAGGCAGCAGUAGGGAAUCUUCCGCAAUGGACGAAAGUCUGACGGAGCAACGCCGCGUGAGUGAAGAAGGUUUUCGGAUCGUAAAGCUCUGUUGUUAGGGAAGAAUAGUGGUAAGAGUAACUGCUUACCAUGUGACGGUACCUAACCAGAAAGCCACGGCUAACUACGUGCCAGCAGCCGCGGUAAUACGUAGGUGGCAAGCGUUGUCCGGAAUUAUUGGGCGUAAAGCGCGCGCAGGCGGUCUUUUAAGUCUGAUGUGAAAGCCCCCGGCUCAACCGGGGAGGGUCAUUGGAAACUGGAAGACUUGAGUGCGAGAGAGAAGAGUGGAAUUCCAUGUGUAGCGGUGAAAUGCGUAGAGAUAUGGAGGAACACCAGUGGCGAAAGCGGCUCUUUGGCUCGCAACUGACGCUGAGGCGCGAAAGCGUGGGGAGCAAACAGGAUUAGAUACCCCGGUAGUCCACGCCGUAAACGAUGAGUGCUAAGUGUUGGAGGGUUUCCGCCCUUCAGUGCUGCAGCU